rnacentral:snoRNA from 1 species
CAUGGUGCCCAUGAUGACUUUUUUCUUUCCCCGACAGAUCGGCAAUGUUGAAAUUUAUAGUAAAAAGCCAAAUUGUCUGAGGCACCAUU